AUAAUAAUAUGUUACAUGUUAACAUGCAAAUGCUAAAACCGUUAGCAUUGACAAGCAUUUUAUUCUGCAAUAUGUGUUUUUCAUUAAAACAUACAACAUUUAAUAUUACAAUAUUUACAUAUGUACAUAUAUAUAUUUAUAUGUACAUAUGUGUAUAUAUAUUCACUUGCUAUUGUCAUUAAAAUGAUAUAAACACAUUAUUUAGUAUAUUUUUUUUUUUUUUCUCCUCUAAAAAAAAUAAACGAGUAAAAAAAUAAAUGAAUAAACGAAUAAAUAAAUAAAUGAAUAAACGAAUAAAUAAAUAAUUGCAUAAUUGCAUAAUUGAAUAAUUGAAUAAUUGAAUGAAUAAACUAAAGAGAGAAAAUAACAAAAAAAAAAAAAAAAAAAAAAAAAAAAAAAAAAAAAAAAAAAAAAAAGAAAAAAAAAAAAAAAAAAAAAAAAAAAAAAAAAAAAAAAAAAAAAAAACAUAAAAAACAAAUAACAAAACCAAUAUAUUUACUACCCAAACAAUUGAUGAUGCAAAAAAAAUGUGUCAUUAUGAAACACACAAAAUUGAAACUCUUAAUGGCCUAAUAAAUGUAUAUUUUGAAAAACAAAGUAAGUUAUACUGUUUAGUCCACACUGUAAAUAAUAUUUUACAAGCCCAUGUAUAUUCUCCCAAUGAUUUCAAAGAAGUAGAAAUACACCUAGAUAAUUCUCCAACAUCGUACACACACGAGUUGAAUAAUAAUAAUAAUAAUAAUAAUAAUAAUCGUGGUAUAGAUGACAUUAAGAAAAACAAUAACAAAACUAGUGGUAAUGACAAAGUAAACAAAAUUAACAUCGACGAAAAUCCCAAUGUGAAACAACAUUUAUAUUUAAAAAGCAAAAAUAACUCGAAUAAGGAUAAUAUAUUUUCUUAUAUUAAAAAGUGUAUGUAUUAUUUUGGUAAUUUUAAUAUAAAUGUUUUAUAUUUAUUUUUAAACAAAUAUCAUAUAGAAUUAGAAUGGGUAGAUAAUAAUGAAAUAUUUGAAAAAAUAAAUGAAAAAAAUAAAUGCAAUAUCAUAUUUGAUGACAGUCAUUUAAAUAACAAAGAACUAAUAGCAUUUGUAAUAAAUGUUGUUAAAUUAAAAUUUUUGGGUUUAUACUACCAUAGACAUUUUUAUACAAUCAGAAAAAUUUCAGGAAUGUGGUUCAACCUGGACUCGACACUCAACAAACCAGCUUUAUUUUAUAACAAUGCAGAAGUAAGUUUGGUGAAAAUAAAAUAUAUUAUACGCAUAUGUAUAUACUAUUUGUCUCACUUAUAAACUCCUUUGCUUAAAACUUCAAAUACAAAAAAUUAUAUUUAAAAAAAAAAAAGCAAAAAUUAUAAAAAAGUUUUUACCAAAUUUUAUAUUUUUAAAUAUAUAUAUAUAUAUAUAUAUGUAUGUAUGUUUAUAUAUGUACUUACAUUUGUUAAUACAUUUGAAGUCCUUUAAAUCGUUUCUUAAUUUACUUUGAGUGCUAUUGUUUAUGCUCAAUUGUUAUAAAUCAUCCCAUCCACUUCAAAUAUUUAUACAUAUAUGCACUAUGUUCUUAUACAUAUGUACUUUUUUUUUUUUUUUUUUUUUAGCUAAACGAACAUUUAAUAAAAUUGUUGAAAGAUAGUAAAAAUUAUAAAUC
ensembl:lncRNA